rnacentral:tRNA from 4 species
AGCCCUGUAGCUCAAUGGUGGAGCAACUGUCCUACAAACAGAGGGUUACAGGUUCAAAUCCUGUCAGGGCUACCA